rnacentral:rRNA from 1 species
CCUACGGGUGACAGCAGUGGGGGAUAUUGCACAAUGGGGGAAACCCUGAUGCAGCGACGCCGGGUGUGGGAAGACGGUCCUCUGGAUUGUAAACCACUGUCCCCAGGGACGAAGAUGACGGUACCUGGGGAGGAAGCGCCGGCUAACUACGUGCCAGCAGCCGCGGUAAUACGGAGGGAGCGAGCGUGGUCCGGAAUUACUGGGUGUAAAGGGAGCGUAGGCGGGACUGCAAGUUGGGUUUCAUAUCUACCGGCUCAACCGGUAGCCGCACUCAAAACUGCAGUUCUUGAGUGCAGUAGAGGCAGGCUGACUUCCUCGUGUAGCGGUGAAUUGCGUAGAUAUUCGGAGGCACCCCAGUGGCGAAGGCGGCCUGCUGGGCUUUUACUGACGCUGAGGCUCG